AUCAAGUUCACUGAAUGUUAUAUCAAUGUGACCGUGUUUCGAUGGCAACGCUUUCGGGCUGGUUUAGUAAGCUCGCACGACUACCGUCAAAUCCGAAUGGGUACGCAAGUAAAAAUUUAUUGUGACUUCAUCACUCUUGCAAGACUCCAAUUUGCGCUUCAGUUGUCCUAUCUCGUUGGGAUUUGUUUUUUUGUCAGAACCAAGGACUCGUUUUGGUCGUUUUUUUCCUGUGAAGUUUGCGUCGUUUUCCCUUGUACAGUCAACGUCUCUUUUGGUUGUUGUUGCUUGGCUGGUGAAUUGUUGUAACUUUUUUCGCUUCUUUUGAAAUAGAAGUGCAAACAAAAAGAGUAAAAGCAAAUAAAAAUGUGUUCCGAUUUGUGCUGUUCCUAUCCAUAUACAUCGUGCUAUUCGUGCUCGCCAUGCACCAGCCUACAUUCACACUGCAGUUUGCGUACAUGCAAAUAUCGGUCAUACUGUGAUCCAUGCGGUUUGGUCUGCGUACCAGAGAUUCGAUUUUGCUACAUUUGCUAUCGUCGACACUGGAAAUGUCGCCACUACUAAAUUCGAAAAAACGACAGCCAAUUCGAUAAAACACCUCUCCAUCACAUACGCACACACACACACACACACACACACGAUUUUUGGACAUCAUCACCACAAUGAACAUCUUCACAUUCCUUUUAUUUUGAUUCUCAUUUGCCUGCCACACAAGGAAGCACACUCAGCAACGGCUUGCACCAUUUAGCACGGAAUUUAUGAACGAAGAACCAGAAAUGUGUCAAUUUGAAGGGGAUAAAGUGAAAAAUAGCCAUUUGGAAAGGGAAAAAAUGAAAAAAGAAACGAGUUCAUUGGGAAAAACUAGGAAAAAUCACUUCGAAAAACAAAUGAAGCACUUCGACUCACAACUUGUGAGUCACAAGGCAACCAAGUAAAAAAAUACCACACUGUGAAAGAUGAAGAGCCCUUGGGUAAAAAGACCAAAAAAAAUAGCAAAACAAGCGUAGAAUUCAAAUUAAAACUUACAAAUGGACCAUUACAACUUUGAAACUGCACGACUGAUUCAAAAUGAGCUCGUCCACCAUGAUAUUCAAUUUAAGGCAUUCCAAAUCACGUCCAGACACUUGGCAAACAAGUAAUUAGUUAGUGUUAGUAGCUUAAUUUUUGCAAUCAUUUUGACGGAGAUAGUUAAAGUUCUAAACGCAAAACACACCCUGAACGAUAGAAUCACUGUGCAAAAAAAAAUCAAGCUCAUUAAAGAAAAAUUCGAGAAAAAAAAACUCAUCUUCAGUGUGGUCGAUCAAAUCGAUACACGUUUUGUUUUCGUCAGCCACAUUUGUAUUGAAAUGUUAUGCACGAGCACGGCCGAUUGACAUCCUAACAUUCCGAAAACUGUGUGUGAAAAUGGCUUUGUUUUAGAUAUGCAUAUUUGGAUAUAGGCACAGGCAGGUAACAUGUUUGAACCUACAUAUUCAAAUGACACACUCGUGACAAGCAUACAUGCUUGUGUCAAUACAUAAAUGAUCCAUUUAACAAGCCUAAAUAUUCCAAAACCGUUCUAUAAUUAUGACAUUUCUCCCAAAAACAAAACAAAAACGGUUACUAAUUCAAUCGGAAUUGAUUUUCCAGCUCAUUUGCAUAGUUCAUUGGACAACUUUUAAGUGGCCACUCUUAGCUGUAUAAUAUCAUGUGGUCAGGUCAGUUCACUCACUGACAUUUUCGGAUCACAUCCAUUCGUCGUGAUAUCAGAUGAAAUGAACGACGACCAUAUUUGCCUUAUCUACCGAAUAUACCCAUUUCGACACUAUUUUACACGGGUUCGCUGUAAACCAAUAACAUAAUUUAACAAACGCACUUUUGAUGAACCAGACAAGCAGCUGCUAGAUUUCAAUCCGGUAUUGAUUUGGGAUUUGAAUUCGAGUUUGAUUUGGAUUCGAUUUCAGUUUGAAGUUUAAUUGUAUUUGAUUUUGCUUGCAUUUGAAUUGAAUUUGACUUAAAUUUAAUUUGGAUUUAAAUUCCAUUAGAAUUGACAAAUCAUUUGAACGUAGAGUUGAAUGGGAUUCGGUUACGUUUUGCUUUAAAAUAAAAACUUAAGCAUCGUUGAUUGGAAAUAUCAUUGAAUGAACAAAAAUUUUCGAUUAAAAUUAAUUGCAUCAAAAAUUGUUAAAUGGUUUUGGUUUAAAAAUUUCAAAAAUUCGAUCUUGUGGGUUUUUUUGGCAAGUAAUUUUGAUUUUCGACCAUUUUAAGCUAUUGAGAAUUCAAAAGAGGAUAAAACAAUUAAAAUAAGGGGUGAGGCAUGAAAGAGACCAAAGUUGUAUUCAAACUAACACUCGAUCGGUAUUUGGAAAUACUCAGUUCGGUAUGUGGAAAGGUCGAGAAAGGUCGAAACUAAGUUCGACUUAAAUGCAUCCGAUAUGAAGAAUUGUGUUUCACUCUUCGAAAAAUCAUUAUUGCAUCAUCGUUUUGAACUCAGAUUUGAAGUGAACAUGGUAGUUAUUUGAUUUAUUCUGUUUAAACUUUGUUUCGAUUUUUGUUAAGGUUAUUUUUCUGUUCAAAAUUUUGUUGAUUUAUUGAAUUCAAUUUUUUGUUCCUCCUUUUUGUUUUUCCUGUUCCGAAAAUUCUUUCAAAUUUUAAUUUUUUUCUUCUUCAAAUUUGAUGUUUUCUCUGGUGCUUUCUUAAUUCAAUUGGUGUUUACUUGGAUUUUGGGAAAAAAGAGGUUUACUUGAAAAAAUUUGGUCGACCUUUGAUCAGAAGCCGGUAAUCUUUCUUGAAAAAUGCCAAAAAUUCAACUAAAUCUUACUUCAAAUCGAAUAAAAUUGUAUUUAAAAGACCGAAAAGAGAAGAAACCGAAAAAAAACUCCAUCUUACGCCACACAUUUUUGGUAUGUAUCCGUUGCAAAAGUGAAGUAAUUAAUUGAGAAAGUGGUUCAAAAUGUUGUUAAUUUGCAUAUUUAAUUACGCACACACGCUUGAAAAAGAAGCGCAAAAAAAGAGUGUCUGAUUUCGAUCUGGGUGAAGGAGUUAGAUAUGUCGUGAUUGGUGUGUGGCAGCUCGAUUCAUUAAAUGUGAAAAUUAAUUCGAGAUCGCGCUUUCGGCAAUAAAGUGUUCGAAAAACUGAUAGGAUCGUGUGAAACGGGGCCAUACAUGAUUGUUUAUGUUUGUGAUCAGUUUGUCGGUUUGCAAGUGAAUGCGCUUGGUCAUAAAAAAUAUUUCAUAAUACACAAUGGCAUAGUGAUCAGAUGAACAAAUCCAAAUUUGACCAGAUAAUUUAGAUGUUGUACUGUUUUAUUUUUUGUUUUCGACUUUACCACGCACGCACAAUGACUCACCUGUUUUUCUUCUUCUUCUGAGCAAGUUCAAACGAUGUGAGAUGAAGAAUGAAAUGAGAAACAGAGCGUUUGAUGUUCACAUUUAAAAUACUUGUUAUUCUGUUACUUUUUUUUCUUCCACUGUGGGAUCAUGUGUGCAGAAAGACAAUGGAGCACAAACAUUGAACCAAGAUGAAGAGAGCGAGAGAUUGGGAGAGAAAAAAAAACGCGAAGAAAUUCCGAAAACAUUAAAACAAUUUUCAUUGAAAUGCGGUAUUAAUGACUUUCGUCUGUUGAAAGACAUUAUUUACUGGCGUCUCGGCUAUAUGAUUCACGUUGAAUUAGGUUAAUUUUUCUGUUGUUGUUUGGAGCUGUUGAUGUUGUUGUUGUUGAAAGAGUGUAGUGCAAACGUUCUUUGAAAACUUAUUUGUUUCCAACGGAAUAAGAUUUUUAAGAUCGAUUAACGAACGCAACAGCCAAAUUUUAUCAUUUUCGCUUUUUGUUUACAUGAUUCGCCAUCGUUAAUGGCUGCUUGUUCUCUGUCUUUCGUCUCCUCUCAGUUCAAUCGCAUCCAUUGUUCAGAAGCAAAUUCCCUUUUUUUAUGUCUCUUCGUCACGCGCUCCAUUUUUCGCGGCGAAUCGCAUUUCGGACAAAUUCGACUUUGGGAUUGCUUCUCUGCCGCAUGCAUGUUAUACACAGAUAAACAUUGCCCAAAUCACAACAUUGAACCAAACACCGUACAUCACACGCAUCUGAAUAACGUGAAAAUAGCAAAAUGAUCAUAAUUUUGUAGACGGCUUUGAAUUUUUCAUCCAUUUUAUUCACAAGCCAAUUAUACGGCUUUUACAUCCGCAACUUUUGAGGGCAUGACGAACGCGCGCGCUCGUCAACUUGCACCAGCUUGUCACAACUGAACACAAUCUAGCGAAAGUGACAGUUACAAUUUUUGAUGCUACCGCGGAAAUUGUCACCAUUUGCUCAGUUUUUUUGACGAUUGGUCGCAAUAAACUCGAUGCCAUAUUCUUGAAGAAAAACGACCAGACUGUUCUGUGAGGGGCCCAAUGAUCUUUCUAUUUCAACACCACUCAAUCUGAGGAAGUGACUUUUUUUUUUGCAAAAAUUGGUCGAUUCCAGACGAGUUUUCUGAUUUUGUUCAUAAUUCUUUUUAUAAUUUCGAUUUGUUGUUCGAUUCAUUUUCGACUCGAUUUUGAAGUUUACAAAUUUUCUAAUUUCUGACUUCAUUUUCGAUUAAUUUACCAUCCUUUAUUAAAUUCUCCUUCAAAACUAAAAGUUAAUUCGGUCAAAAGCGCAUUCCCCUUCCAAAUCGUUCCUUCCUUUCAUGCUUUCUCCUGUAAUUUCACGUAUAACCAAUAGCAAGUAUCGAUUUUGCUCAUGUUGUGUGAGGUCAUCAAUUCUGCUUGACUUUGGCGGGAAACCGAAUGUCGUUUUCCAUUCAAAGUGGCAAAGUUCAUAAACUCUUGAUAAAUGAGUAGAAAGUGUUUGUUCCAUAUCGAAAUAGAUCACGCACCCAGAAAAUGAGUUGUUUAUAUUUUUUUCUUUUGUAUUCAUUGUUCUAUCGACUGUGCAUUGCGUUUUUGAAUCCGAAGCAAAUUCACAUAUAAUAGUAAUUGAAAUUCAUAACUAGGGAUUCCAAUUUGCAUAACAACACACUAAAAACGAAGAAAAAAAAACAUAAAUUUGAAUUUUGAUUGAUUCGAAAAUCCAUUCGAUUGUUGUAAGUAGACAAAGAGAACCAACAACCAAAAUGAUUAUUUACCAAUCGAUUCUGUCAUCUUUGGCAACAAAGAAACACAUUUAGCUUUACAAUAAAAAAUAAAUUGUCAAAUUGUCCGAAAUUAUUGUUCACAUUAAUUAAUCAUCCGUCAAAUAAAGUUUGUGUUCGUGUUGGGUCUCGA